UGAAGAAGAGAAAACAGGAAUAUGAAGAUGAAGAAGAGGACAUAAAACCUAAGAAGACAAAAGACAAGAAAGCUGGAGCGGAAUCCAAGAAAGUCAAGAAGGAACCAGAAGAGAAAUGGAAAUGGUGAGAUGUUUGUGAGGAUUGGUUGACUCCUGCAGAUCAUCACAGUUCUGUCCUUGAGCAAGACAGGUGGGAGGAGGAGAGGGCCACUGACGGCUCCAAAUGGAGGUUUCUGGAACACAAGGGACCUGUUCUUGCUCCUCCAUAUGAACCACUUCCUGGCCAUGUCAGAUUUUUUUACGAUGCAAACACCGUUCCGGUUCCUUGUUGCACAACUCCCUUUGUACUACUCUGACACUGCCUUGCAAAGUCUGAUAAUGGAAGUUUUCAGUUG